CGCUUCUUUUUCCACCGGAGCUUGCUCCACCGGAAAAAGAGGAGUGGCGAACGGGUGAGUAACACGUGGGUAACCUGCCCAUCAGAAGGGGAUAACACUUGGAAACAGGUGCUAAUACCGUAUAACAAUCAAAACCGCAUGGUUUUGAUUUGAAAGGCGCUUUCGGGUGUCGCUGAUGGAUGGACCCGCGGUGCAUUAGCUAGUUGGUGAGGUAACGGCUCACCAAGGCCACGAUGCAUAGCCGACCUGAGAGGGUGAUCGGCCACAUUGGGACUGAGACACGGCCCAAACUCCUACGGGAGGCAGCAGUAGGGAAUCUUCGGCAAUGGACGAAAGUCUGACCGAGCAACGCCGCGUGAGUGAAGAAGGUUUUCGGAUCGUAAAACUCUGUUGUUAGAGAAGAACAAGGAUGAGAGUAACUGUUCAUCCCUUGACGGUAUCUAACCAGAAAGCCACGGCUAACUACGUGCCAGCAGCCGCGGUAAUACGUAGGUGGCAAGCGUUGUCCGGAUUUAUUGGGCGUAAAGCGAGCGCAGGCGGUUUCUUAAGUCUGAUGUGAAAGCCCCCGGCUCAACCGGGGAGGGUCAUUGGAAACUGGGAGACUUGAGUGCAGAAGAGGAGAGUGGAAUUCCAUGUGUAGCGGUGAAAUGCGUAGAUAUAUGGAGGAACACCAGUGGCGAAGGCGGCUCUCUGGUCUGUAACUGACGCUGAGGCUCG
rnacentral:rRNA from 8 species